GAUGAACGCUGGCGGCGUGCUUAACACAUGCAAGUCGAACGGGAUCCCAGGGGUGCUUGCACUUUUUGGUGAGAGUGGCGAACGGGUGAGUAACACGUGAGUAACCUGUCCUUUUCUUUGGGAUAAGCAUUCGAAAGGGUGUUUAAUACCUUAUGUUCUGUCUGCCUCGCAUGGGGUGGGUGGGAAAGGCUUUGGCCGGAUUUGGGUGGGCUCGCGGUCUAACAGCUUGUUGGUGGGGUGAUGGCUUACCAAGGCUUUGCCGGGUAGCCGGGCUGGGGGGGUGGGCGGUGACAGGGGGACUGAGUGACGGCCCGGACUGCUGCGGGAGGCAGCAGUGGGGGAUAGUGGGGAAUGGGCGAAAGCCGGAUGCAGCGACGCCGAGUGGGGGAUGAAGGCCUUCGGGGUGUAAACUUCUGUUGCUCUGAACAAGGCAUGCCAGUGGGUGUGUGGAGUGGAGGGGUUGAUUAGCGCCGGCUAACUACGUG
rnacentral:rRNA from 1 species